rnacentral:rRNA from 1 species
CCUACGGGUGGCAGCAGUCGAGAAUCAUUCACAAUGGGGGAAACCCUGAUGGUGCGACGCCGCGUGGGGGAAUGAAGGUCUUCGGAUUGUAAACCUCUGUCAUGUGGGAGCAAAUUAAAAAGAUAGUACUACAAGAGGAAGAGACGGCGAACUCGGUGCCACCAGCUGCGGUAAUACAGAGGUCUCAAGCGUUGAUCGGAAUCACUUGGCGUAAAGCGUUCGUAGGCUGUUUCGUAAGUCGUGUGUGAAAGGGGCGGGCUCAACCCGCGGACGGCCCAUGAUACUGCGAGACUAGAGUAAUGGAGGGGUAACCGGAAUACGCGGUGUAGCAGUGAAAUGCGUAGAUAUCGAGAGGAACACUCGUGGCGAAGGCAGGUUCCUAGACAUUAACUGACGCUGAGGCACGAAGGCCAGGGGAGCGAAAGGGAUUAGAUACCCUGGUAGUC